GUGACACCACAAACACAAGCUAGGUGACACCACAAACACAAGCUAGGUGACACCACAGACACAAGCUAGGUGACACCACAAACACAAGCUAGGUGACACCACAAACACAAGCUAGGUGACACCACAAACACAAGCUAGGUGACACCACAAACACAAGCUAGGUGAUACCACAAACACAAGCUAGGUGACACCACAAACACAAGCUAGGUGACACCACAAACACAAGCUAGGUGAUACCACAAACACAAGCUAGGUGAUACCACAAACACAAGCUAGGUGACACCACAAACACAAGCUAGGUGACACCACAAACACAAGCUAGGUGACACCACAAACACAAGCUAGGUGACACCACAAACACAAGCUAGGUGACACCACAAACACAAGCUAGGUGACACCACAAACACAAGCUAGGUGACACCACAAACACAAGCUAGGUGAUACCACAAACACAAGCUAGGUGACACCACAAACACAA